GAUCAUGGCUCAGGAUGAACGCUAGCUACAGGCUUAACACAUGCAAGUCGAGGGGCAGCAUUUUAGUUUGCUUGCAAACUAAAGAUGGCGACCGGCGCACGGGUGAGUAACACGUAUCCAACCUGCCGAUAACUCGGGGAUAGCCUUUCGAAAGAAAGGUUAAUAUCCGAUGGUAUAUUAAAACCGCAUGGUUUUACUAUUAAAGAAUUUCGGUUAUCGAUGGGGAUGCGUUCCAUUAGUUUGUUGGCGGGGUAACGGCCC
rnacentral:rRNA from 1 species